CCUACGGGAGGCAGCAGUGGGGAAUUUUGGACAAUGGGGGCAACCCUGAUCCAGCCAUUCCGCGUGAGUGAAGAAGGCCUUCGGGUUGUAAAGCUCUUUUGUCGGGGACGAAACGGUUACGAUUAAUACUCGUGACAACUGACGGUACCCGAAGAAUAAGCACCGGCUAACUACGUGCCAGCAGCCGCGGUAAUACGUAGGGUGCGAGCGUUAAUCGGAAUUACUGGGCGUAAAGCGUGCGCAGGCGGUUUUGUAAGCCAGAUGUGAAAUCCCCGGGCUUAACCUGGGAAUGGCAUUUGGGACUGCAAGGCUAGAGUAUGGCAGAGGAGACUAGAAUUUCUGGUGUAGCAGUGAAAUGCGUAGAUAUCAGAAGGAAUACCGAUGGCGAAGGCAGGUCUCUGGGUCAAUACUGACGCUCAUGCACGAAAGCGUGGGGAGCAAACAGGAUUAGAUACCCUGGUAGUCCACGCCCUAAACGAUGUCAACUGGUUGUUGGGAGAUUUAUUCUCUUAGUAACGAAGCUAACGCGUGAAGUUGACCGCCUGGGGGAGGUACGGUCGCGAGAUAACUACAAGAAGUAGAGCGNGAGAGUGCGACGACGACGACGAGGGAGAGG
rnacentral:rRNA from 1 species